rnacentral:rRNA from 1 species
UACAGAGGAUGCAAGCGUUAUCCAGAAUGAUUGGGCGUAAAGCGUCUGUAGGUGGCUUUUUAAGUCCGCCGUCAAAUCCCAGGGCUCAACUCUGGACAGGCGGUGGAAACUACCAAGCCGGAGUACGGUAGGGGCAGAGGGAAUUUACGGUGGAGCGGUGAAAUGCGUAGAGAUCGGAAAGAACACCAACGGCGAAAGCGCUCUGCUGGGCCGACACUGACACUGAGAGACGAAAGCUAGGGGAGCGAAUGGG